rnacentral:lncRNA from 1 species
UAGCCUUCAAGGGUGGGCCAGACUUUUGAGGUCUGUUGGGGAAGCCAGGGCCCAGGGAAACUUCUAGCUGCUCUCUCCAUCUUCAGGCUUGUCACCUCCUCUCUAUCCCCUCCCAGUGCCCUCCACCCAACCUGGCUAGAUUCUCCAAGUUCCCUGGCUGAGGAGCAGGAAGGAGUGGGGAGUUUCCAUAAUGUCUCUGUAGAGCUCCAGGGUGAGGCUUGGCAACUGGAAAUUGUCAGUCGUCUCCUUGGCGACCAGCAGCCAAAUAAUUCUGGGAAUGGAGGAGGGAAGGGAGCUCUCAGCAGGGCGGCCAAGAGAGGCAGCCCUCACUUCCCAGAAAACUUCAAUUCCUCAUUACCUGUGUCAGCUGGGGUUCAAUCAGGAGACAGAAACCACACCAGUUAGUUUGAAAAGAGAAUUCAGCAUAAGGAACUGAUAAUGAGGUAUGAAGUUGUUAAUUAGGUAAGGAGAGGGUAAGGAGAGAGAAGAGUAAGCUUUCAUGGGGGUUGCACCUGCAGGAGCAGCUACCACUCCAGGGCUGGAGAACCCUAAGGAAGAGUUUUGAAGGAGGGUUCCAGAGCCUGUGACCCAGACAUCUGAGGAGGGGGCUCAACUCAGCGGGAGCUGGGGUCUCCGGGUGUGAAGAAAGGACUCCUGCACCCAGACCUCUGCGGAAGGGGCACCUGCCAGCUGGUGCUGGGGUCUCUCAGGCUUCAUUUGCAUCAGAGGUGGGACAGCUUGUUACAUAUCACCCUUGGCUGUGAUCAUAGCCUCAGAUGCUUCUCAACUGGAGCAAACUCAAGCAGGCUGUUUGAAAACAUUUUGAAAACCUCCCAGCCAGAAACCUUGUUCCAGCAGUGCAGAGCAGCUCAGGUAAGAGGCAACGAGUGGUGUGCCCCACAUGGCCUCUGUGUGGCUGAGAAUGAACUGCUUUUUUCCCUUUCACUGAUUUUCUUUGCAGUUUUUAUUCUUUGCAAACACUUUAUAGCAAGAAACACGUGAAAG